GUGUCAUCAUUGGAUUAACGCUAACAAUGUGAAUAGCACAUUCUACUAAUUCUAACUAUUGAAUGUAUUGAUGAAAACUUCCAAUUUGAAUGUGGUGCUGGAAAACUAAUUCGUCGUAAUACUUGUAUUAUGCAUGAUAAGUGGGAUUGGGAUAUUAGUUGUAGUGACGAAGAAGAAAAUUACCGGGAUUAUUUGAUUGGCUGGAAAGACUUGGACUUUAGAGACACCUGGUCCUUUAUCAAAAGUCUUGAUGAAGCCUUGGAUGUUAACUGGUCUUUUAUAAAGGAUCACUUCGCAGACUGCAUAGCCUCAGUGUGGAAAACUCUUGCUUUCUGGUGGGAAGAUUUGUUCUUCCGAAAGUUGGGCGAAGGUCCGUAUCCUGCCUUCCCUGUACUCUAAACUACUGUCAGGAUACACGUCGUGAUUUGAAAGUACCAGAGGUCUAAGAUUUAAGCAUGGUGAUCCCUAUACUGGGCGAAGACACCUGGGAAGGGAUGAUGAUUGACACCCCGGGCGACUUUGUAAGG